GUUUCCGUAGCCCAAAUGGUAGAGGCAUGGUCCUAAACAUCAAUCAGUGCGGGUUCGAAUCCUGCCGGAAACACGA
rnacentral:tRNA from 1 species